UGGCAGGUCCCUAAAAGGACCUUAUUCCAGUCCUGACACAGUGGAACCAAUCAGUCCUGAUGAGAGUGUCAUCAAAGAUUAUAAUGUGAAUCAAUAAACUUGUUAAUAUCCAUUUAAUAUUGACUUAUCAGGCUUCAGUGAGACUGGAAAUGCAAAUGAAGGUACCAUGUAAAUCACAGGAGGUCAGGCUUAAAGUAUUGCAGAACAGGGUUUCCGUUGUGAGUGCAACCAAGAAACAGCAAGGAACUCAUCUCUUGACAAAUAGCUGCCUGGGUGUUCUUGUUUCUGUACACAAAUUUCCAUAUGCAAGAGAUAUGGGCAGUUCCCACUUCAUCUGUUUUUGCAAUUGAGCUCAUGUACAAACAAACAAUCUAAAUUCUGGAUCUGUUAUUGCGUGGUGAUAAAAUGAGUGGGAUUCCAUAAUGCAUUAGGAUCCUUGAAACUAAGAUAAGCAAUCCUUAAACUUUGAGGAGCUGAUGGAAAUGGAAAUUAACAUCAUUUCUCCUGACUCUUGCUUUCUGCAUCUUGAUUUAUCUACAGCAAUUUCAGUAGAGCUGUGCCUGCUUCUAGAAUAUCUCACUGCCCCCAUCUUUUUCUUUCAGUUUCUUUAAAGCAAGUGAAUGUCCUGAAUAUCAAUAAGAAAACGUUGAGAAGCACCUCUAGUUCAUAGAGAAUCACCAUGUUAUAGCAUCCUUUCCAAUAGUAUGGAGGGGGAAAAGCAUAUCAAAAAAAAAAGAAAAAAGGCCAGAGGACAGGCUCUGAAUCAUGUUCUCUGCAUCUGAUGAUCUCAUUUAGGCCUGUGAGAUGUUCAAGGGCAUGCCUGAAGGGGGCAAGCUGGAAGAACAUCUAUUCUUCUGGAAGAACUGGUGUAACAACCCACACCUCACCAGCGCACCCACGGACCCCUUGGGAUAAGGGUAGCUGGCAGUGUGUGUUUUGAGUCACAAAAACUCACAUUGAUGGGUUUCAAUCUUGAGAAUACUGGGAGCUUUCUAUGGAAAGCCUACCUCGAGCCAAGCUUCUACGUGUUCUUUUUGAAACUAAGGAUGUUGGUGGGAGGGAAACAAUAUGAGCCAUGCUUUUCAUACAUUUGGGCAAGAUGUGCAAAAUGAGAAACGUUAUUGUUGCUCUUGGCCGAUUCUCCUGUUCUGUUGAACUCUUGCUUUAUAUUUUUCUUCUCUAUCUAUGCUCUGCAGAUGACGUUAUUUCAGAUUAAAUGAGAAUACAAGGAAAAAAUUAGUCAGCUGAGUAGGAAAUCAUAUAUCUCCCCCUUAGUGAGCUUUUGGGUCAAAUUCCUUCAUCAAGGUCAUCAAGGUUGAAACUGGCUUUCAGCAGUAUGAACUCUUAACGUUAUUCCAAAGAUGAUUAGGUUGUGCUGUUGUUAACACUGGGAAGAGAUGCAGUGGGAAAACUGGCUGAAGAGCAUCAUUUUAGGCAUUGUGUUGAGGGACGUGGUUUAGUGAGAACUAUUGGUGACAGGUGGAAGGUUGGACUGGGUGAUCUUGUAGGUCUUUUCCAAUCUUGGUGAUUUUAUGAUUCUGUGAUCUCUGCCUUCUCCAGCGUUUGUGCUAUGGGUACAGGACUCAUCAGUGGUUGCUCAGAAGCUAAAAGCAUCUCCCCAUUAAGCCACCUAGACACAUCAGUUGGAUAUCCUCAUCCUCAGACAAAAAAAAAAAAAGAAAAAGAAAAAGAGAUGUGAUGUGGGCUUCUGUGUUCAGAGAAUCUUCUCCAAAGCACGUGGAACAUGCAGAGAGGCUGGAUGAUGCUCACGGGAGAUCCAGUGGCUGGAGCAGAGGGGGCAUGAGUUCUUGCUUUCUCCUGGUUUGCAAUGUCACAGGCACACAGAGAUCUUCUCUCCACUCAAGGAAAUCUCUUCAGGAGCUGUGGCUGUUAUUUCUGAGACUUUGAUGCAGAAGAGCCAUGGAUGGGCAAUUGGCAGAAGGUUUGUUUUUGACUUGGGAAGCGUCUGGGCUUGCCCUGUGUUUAUGUCUCUGCAGUCUGACUCAAGCCCUGCUAAGCCAACAGGAAGAAACCCAAACUCAACAGAUAUAAAGCUGCCACUCUCAAAGGGAUGAUCCUUUGGUAGCAUAUCCUUUCCCAAAUGUUUCUUCUUUCUGAUCUGCUGGUGAGAACUCGCAUCAAGCAGCUUUUCUUUUAAUGUUGAUAAUUCAGGCAUACACAAACACAUCUCAUCCUGCAGGCAAUGCCCAGCUAACAAGCUCUGCAGCACCACCACGGCAUAUUUUGGCACCAGUGCUGUACCAUUGCACACAGCCUUCUCCACCUGCCAAAAUGCCUUUCCUUGGGCUGUGCCUUUUUGCCUCUGUUUUUUGCCUUGCUUUGAUAUGGCUGCCUUUAUCUGUUUAUUUUAUGGCAGCUGGGAUCCUACCGUGUCAGCCUCCGUGAUGUCUCCCUCCACUCAUCCAAAUAAGAUAAAAUAGUCACCUGAAUGUAUCACCACUUUGAGAAGAUGACUUUUCUCCUUAAAGGAUGAGGAUAAAGCUUAUAGGGAGAGGUAGUACUUUUCUUGAGUCAACUGUUAAUAAAACCAGAAAGCUGUUGGCCAUGCAAGGCUUUGCCUGGGGCAUUAAGCAGAGCCCAGGGGUUGGGUUUUUCCAUGGAUUCCCUGUGCAAAGGCACUACCAAUACAACCAUGACAUUUGCAGUCUGUAGGACAAGGAAAUGCUUUCAGUAAGCAUUAACUUGCAUAACAAGGACUCCCCAUGCAAAAGUGGUUGCUUGUCUUCAAAGGAAUACUACUGGAGAGCUGUUUUGUGGCAAGUCAAUCAACGUUACUGAUCCUCAUUAGAUUAGAAAAAUGCAGGUUUUCCCUCCAGGAAAGAUUUGUAAGUGCUGGUAUUUCUAACGUUAGAAAUGAUUGAAACGGAGUGGUUUGAAAUGGCGAUUUUUCCUACAGCUGGAAUUUAGUAGAUGACGGUUUUCUCUCCCAUGUCCAUUCCCAUUACUUAUCAGAGCUCACGGCGUGAUUUACACCACUCCCAUCUCCUUUGCCCGCUGCUGCUCAGCCUUUACCAAACACCUGCACUGCCACCUUCUGCCUGAAUUGCAGCUCACAGCCCAAUUUCCAGCUUUCUUCUCAGCCUGCCGAACUCAUGAUGCGUGUCCCAGGAAAGUUCAGAGUGCAAAGAAGAAACAUCGUGCACAGUCACAAUGGUCCAUCCAUUGAGUUUGUUUAUAGCUGCUCUCUCUUAGGGCUGGUGACUGUGCUAUAUGCAAUUCCUAGCUGUGGUGUAGAGGAUGGGAACCCUACGGUGCUGCUAUUUUAGCAUUGUGAGCCACAGAGCUAAAAUACUUUGCUCAGCCACUGUGAAGCCAACAUUGGCCAACAAUUAGCCACAAGCAUUUGCCCGGGCUUGUUUGAUGGCCUGAUAGAUGCAGGCAGUGUCUGAAAUAAGCAAAGGAAGGAUUCAGAGCUUAUGCUUGAUUAUUUGCUAUCACUUCCAAGAAGCCGCCCUGAUUUGUCCCCGUUGGCUGUUUGUUUCUUGUUAUCAUAUGAACUGGUUGGUUCUCAGAGAGCUGGGAGACCAGAGAGGAUGUGCACGCAUGAAAAGGCUGGCAAUGUUUCACUGCCUUCUGAAGAUAAUUCCUCACAGCAUGACUAAGGGAACAGUGGCCUCUGGUGCUCACCGAGCAGCCUUACAGCUGCACUCCCAUCUGGGUGCUCACUGGUGUCAAUGGGCAUGGGCAGGAGGACCUGGUGGCUUUGCUCCAUCUUUCUCGAUGGAGAGGGAUUUGCUGCUUAACAACGUGUCCUGGACCACUUUGUGAAGCAGCUUGUCCACCACAAAGCCUCUGUUAAGACCUAAAUUAAAGCCUAAAUAUGCCCUUAAACACUUCAGGCAGGCCUAUGUUGCGAUCAAUACAUUAUUAGAACCACGAGCCUUCGGCCUGGUCACUCCUCCCUGCCCCACAGAAGUGAUUUAGGAACCCAUCAGGCAGCUUUGCAUAAAGUGAAGUGUAAGGUGAUGAUAUCCCAAGGGCUGGCUUUUGUGGGGCCAUGUGUGCUUUGGCACUGUGUCCCUGGGACUGCCGGAUCUCCCUGUUCUGCAACAGCUUGUUCAAACCAAACCCUCGAGCACAUGAGUUGCCUCACACUAAGGUUUAUUUAUUUUCUCUAAAAGCAUGGCAGCCUUUCCAAAGUGCAGCUGAACUGCAGCUAAAAAAAAAAAAAGUCAAUGGAAAAUGUGUACCAAACUCCAAAUCCCGUUGAAAUUCAAUUCAGUCCCCAUCACCUUGUAUGAAGGCUUUGAUCUUAGGCUGGAAAAUGACCUUUCACGUGCAAGUCAACCAGCAAGCUGUGUAAGGGUAUGGAGAACAGGUUGCAGAAGUCCAUGAUCUGGAAAUAGCUCAGCCUUUUGCUAUCAGCAGCUGAGAUAAAUGUAGUUGCGCCAGUGGGGUCACAGAGUGUAAGAAGCCUUAGUUUUGUGCUAGGUUUUGUUUAUUAAAUUCAGGUUUCAUUGAUGUCCAGAGCUGACAAAAAAUAUUUCCCAGGAAGACAGACAAACAGAAACAUUUCAUAAAUA